rnacentral:rRNA from 1 species
UACGGGGGGGGCAAGCGUUGUUCGGAAUUACUGGGCGUAAAGGGCUCGUAGGUGGCCAACUAAGUCAGACGUGAAAUCCCUCAGCUUAACUGGGGAACUGCGUCUGAUACUGGAUGGCUUGAGUUUGGGAGAGGGAUGCGGAAUUCCAGGUGUAGCGGUGAAAUGCGUAGAUAUCUGCAGGAACACCGGUGGCGAAGGCGGCAUCCUGGACCAACACUGACACUGAGGAGCGAAAGCCAGGGGAGCAAACGGG